rnacentral:rRNA from 1 species
GACGAACGCUGGCGGCGUGCUUAACACAUGCAAGUCGAACGGAAAGGCCCUUCGGGGUACUCGAGUGGCGAACGGGUGAGUAACACGUGGGUGAUCUGCCCUGCACUUUGGGAUAAGCCUGGGAAACUGGGUCUAAUACCGAAUAUGAUCAUCGGCUUCAUGGUCGGUGGUGGAAAGCUUUUGCGGUGUGGGAUGGGCCCGCGGCCUAUCAGCUUGUUGGUGGGGUAAUGGCCUACCAAGGCGACGACGGGUAGCCGGCCUGAGAGGGUGACUGGCCACACUGGGACUGAGAUACGGCCCAGACUCCUACGGGAGGCAGCAGUGGGGAAUAUUGCACAAUGGGCGCAAGCCUGAUGCAGCGACGCCGCGUGAGGGAUGACGGCCUUCGGGUUGUAAACCUCUUUCAGCACAGACGAAGCGCAAGUGACGGUAUGUGCAGAAGAAGGACCGGCCAACUACGUG